rnacentral:rRNA from 1 species
GACGAACGCUGGCGGCGUGCUUAACACAUGCAAGUCGAACGGAAAGGCCCUGCUUUUGUGGGUGCUCGAGUGGCGAACGGGUGAGUAACACGUGAGUAACCUGCCCUUGACUUUGGGAUAACUUCAGGAAACUGGGGCUAAUACCGGAUAGGAGCUCCUGCUGCAUGGUGGGGGUUGGAAAGUUUCGGCGGUUGGGGAUGGACUCGCGGCUUAUCAGCUUGUUGGUGGGGUAGUGGCUUACCAAGGCUUUGACGGGUAGCCGGCCUGAGAGGGUGACCGGCCACAUUGGGAGUGAGAUACGGCCCAGACUCAUACGGGAGGCAGGAGUGGGGAAUAUUGCACAAUGGGCGGAAGCGUGAUGCAGCAACGCCGCGUGCGGGAUGACGGCCUUCGGGUUGUAAACCGCUUUCGCCAGUGACGAAGCGUGAGUGACGGUAAUGGGUAAAGAAGCACCGGCUAACUACGU